rnacentral:rRNA from 1 species
UACGUAGGGGGCAAGCGUUGUCCGGAAUCAUUGGGCGUAAAGCGCACGUAGGCGGCUUCUUAAGUCAGGGGUGAAAUCCUGGAGCUCAACUCCAGAACUGCCUUUGAUACUGAGGAGCUUGAGUCCGGGAGAGGUGAGUGGAACUGCGAGUGUAGAGGUGAAAUUCGUAGAUAUUCGCAAGAACACCAGUGGCGAAGGCGGCUCACUGGCCCGGUACUGACGCUGAGGUGCGAAAGCGUGGGGAGCAAACAGG